rnacentral:rRNA from 1 species
UGGCGAACGGGUGAGUAACACGUGGGUGAUCUGCCCUGCACUUCGGGAUAAGCCUGGGAAACUGGGUCUAAUACCGGAUAGGAGCUAUUUUUAGUGUGAUGGUUUGAAAGUUUUUUCGGUGUAGGAUGAGCUCGCGGCCUAUCAGCUUGUUGGUGGUGUAAUGGCCUACCAAGGCGGCGACGGGUAGCCGGCCUGAGAGGGUGGACGGCCACAUUGGGACUGAGAUACGGCCCAG